ACAUGCAAGACUUUCCAGCACUCCUUACCUGUCUGCUCUCCCGUAGCCAACCCUGCCUGCCUCUGACCUGCCUGCAUCGUCUGUUUCCCGGCCCCUCAAUCCAUCGCAUGGCUUCUACUUACCUCCUGCUCGUCCUUCAUCGGCUCUGCUGCUUCCCUGGACUACUCUUCUGGUUCCGGACCCCUCACCUUCUCAACCACACCAUCAGUUCAGCCCGGUCCAUUCCCUGGACCCUGGACCCUGGACCCGGAGACUGUGUGUGAGCUCUGAGCUUUCAGCUCUCACUUGGUUUUCGCGCUCUCGCUGAAAUGUUCAUCUGUGCCUCAGUUCCAAAUCAGUGCCUCCAGGGGGCCUCUGAAGCUGCCAAGACACUGAGUGUGAUUUCUCCAUCUUCAGUCCCACACCACCAAG